GACGAACGCUGGCGCCGUGCUUCACACAUGCAAGUCGAACGAUGAACCCGGAGCUUGCUCCGGCGGCUUACUGGCGAACGGGUGAGUAACACGUCCGUAACCUGCCCUUGUCACUGGGAUAACUGAGGGACACUGUAGCUCAUACCGAAUACGACCUUCUGCGGCAUCUCCCGGGGGUGGAACACAUUGCGGUCAAGGGUGGACUCGAGGCCCAUCAGCUAGUUGGUGAGGUAACGGCUCACCAAGGCGACGAAGGGUAGCCGGCCCGAGAGGGUGACCGGCCACACUGGGCCGGAGACACGGCACAGACUCCUACGGGAGGCAGCAGUGGGGAAUAUUGCACAAUGGGCGCAAGCCUGAUGCAGCAACGCCGCGUGAGGGAUGACGGCCUUCGGGUUGUAAACCUCUUUUAGUAGGGAAGAAGCGAAAGUGACGGUACCUGCAGAAAAAGCACCGGCUAACUACGGGCCAGCAGCCGCCGUAA
rnacentral:rRNA from 1 species